rnacentral:rRNA from 1 species
CCUACGGGAGGCAGCAGUGAGGAAUAUUGGUCAAUGGGCGUAAGCCUGAACCAGCCAAGUCGCGUGAGGGAUGAAGGUUCUCUGGAUCGUAAACCUCUUUUAUAAGGGAAUAAAGUGCGGGACGUGUCCCGUUUUGUAUGUACCUUAUGAAUAAGGAUCGGCUAACUCCGUGCCAGCAGCCGCGGUAAUACGGAGGAUCCGAGCGUUAUCCGGAUUUAUUGGGUUUAAGGGGUGCGUAGGCGGCCUUUUAAGUCAGCGGUGAAAGUCUGUGGCUCAACCAUAGAAUUGCCGUUGAAACUGGGAGGCUUGAGUAUGUUUGAGGCAGGCGGAAUGCGUGGUGUAGCGGUGAAAUGCUUAGAUAUCACGCAGAACCCCGAUUGCGAAGGCAGCCUGCCAAGCCAUGACUGACGCUGAUGCACGAAAGCGUGGGGAGCAAACAGGAUUAGAUACCCCUGUAGUC